UACAGAGGGUGCUAGCGUUGUUCGGAAUCAUUGGGCGUAAAGGGCGUGUAGGCGGUUUGUUAAGUCAUGUGUGAAAUCCCUCGGCUCAACCGGGGAACGACGCAUGAAACUGGCAAGCUAGAGUACCAAAGAGGGGGGUGGAAUUCCCGGUGUAGCGGUGAAAUGCGCAGAUAUCAGGAGGAACACCAAUUGCGAAGGCAGCUCGCUGGGACGUUACUGACGCUGAGACGCGAAAGCGUGGGGAGCAAACAGG
rnacentral:rRNA from 1 species